rnacentral:rRNA from 1 species
UUUAUAUGAGAGUUUGAUCCUGGCUCAGGAUGAACGCCGGCGGUGUGCCUAAUACAUGCAAGUCGAACGCGUUGGCCCAACUGAUUGAACGUGCUUGCACGGACUUGACGUUGGUUUACCAACGAGUGGCGGACGGGUGAGUAACACGUAGGUAACCUGCCCCAAAGCGGGGGAUAACAUUUGGAAACAGAUGCUAAUACCGCAUAACAGUUUGAAUCGCAUGAUUCAAACUUAAAAGAUGGUUUCGGCUAUCACUUUGGGAUGGACCUGCGGCGCAUUAGCUUGUUGGUAGGGUAACGGCCUACCAAGGCUGUGAUGCGUAGCCGAGUUGAGAGACUGAUCGGCCACAAUGGAACUGAGACACGGUCCAUACUCCUACGGGAGGCAGCAGUAGGGAAUCUUCCACAAUGGGCGCAAGCCUGAUGGAGCAACACCGCGUGAGUGAAGAAGGGUUUCGGCUCGUAAAGCUCUGUUGUUAGAGAAGAACGUGCGUGAGAG